rfam:Myotis brandtii contig267683, whole genome shotgun sequence.
GGCAGUUCUCAGGUGACACCCCAGAAUCAGGCUCCCUCCUCUCUGGUUCUGGGUGCAUCACCUGAGAACUGCA